rnacentral:rRNA from 1 species
UGGGCUUGACAUCCCACGAACCUGCUGAAAGACAGGAGUGCCCGCAAGGGAGCGCGGAGACAGGUGGUGCAUGGCUGUCGUCAGCUCGUGUCGUGAGAUGUUGGGUUAAGUCCCGCAACGAGCGCAACCCUCACCCCUUGUUGCUACCAGGUAAAGCUGGGCACUCUAGGGGAACUGCCCCGGUCAACGGGGAGGAAGGCGGGGAUGACGUCAAGUCAUCAUGCCCCUUACGUCCUGGGCUACACACGUGCUACAAUGGCCGGUACAAAGGGAUGCCACACCGCGAGGUAGAGCUAAACCCAAAAAGCCGGUCUAAGUUCAGAUUGGAGUCUGCAACUCGACUCCAUGAAGGAGGAAUCGCUAGUAAUCGCGUAUCAGCACGACGCGGUGAAUACGUUCCCGGGCCUUGUACACACCGCCCGUCACACCACGAAAGCCAGCUGUACUCGAAGUCGCUGAG